rnacentral:lncRNA from 1 species
CAGAGCUGGGCCCAUCUCGCAUACUUUCCGCUAGCAGCUCGAAGGAUUUAGGGCUGGAGGUGGACUAAUAGCAACAUUUUAAUGAGAAGAAAGAUGCAAAAGGACAUCUUCAUUUCACACGAAGGACUAGGCAUCUGCCUGGAAGUUUAGGGUCGCAGAGAGAGGCUGAAGCAGAGAAGGGGAAAGAAACGCACCUGUCUGAAUUGCCAGCCUACAGACCCAGGCUCCCUCUGCAAUCACUGCCACCUCCUUUGAAUUGUUACUCGCAUUGAGGUGAGGCCUGCUGAGUCACAGCCUGAGCCACUGAUUGAGCACCGGGGGAACAGACCUGGUCAGCACUGUGAGCACAGGUCUCAACAGGUCAGAUGUUCUCUGGACCUACGACCGAGUGAUAAAUCCCAACUUACAUCCUACUAGUUACAGCAGUGACCACCGAAACGGAGGAUCCCCAUCCCUGCUGCAGGUUAGAUCAUGGAGCAAGGCUAUUGCACAGCUCCUGUGCCCCUGAAGGAUGCAAUGAAUGACACAUCAUGCCCAGAAGGUUCUCAG